GCAUCGGUGGUUUAGUGGUAAAAUUAGCCGUUGCCAUCCGUUUCUGGACAAUCUCGGCUAGCCCCGGGUUCGAUUCCCGGCCGAUGCA
rnacentral:tRNA from 1 species